rnacentral:lncRNA from 1 species
ACUAGUAGUUUAGGGUAUAUAUCGGGUCGAUCCCACAAGGAAGAGUGAACAAUUAUCGGUAUUACUAAAGCUUCUCUAUUAUUUAGACUAUCAAUUAAUGAUAAGAAAUUUAACCUACUGCACUUAUACAAGAAAUUAACAAAUAAAAGCUCCUUAGGUUGUGGUAUCCCUAACUACUCAUGCAAGUGCUAUAUUUGGAUCAUUAAUUACUACAUCUAGGCUAAUUAUGGUGUAAUUUCCUUAUGCAUUUGAAUCCUACUUUCGUAGUGAAUCAAUUAUACUUAUAACUAAUCCAUACCUAUUCUCAUGGUUAUGAAAUUAGCUACAAGUUCAUUUCUUCAAUGAAAUUACAUGAAAUAAAUCACUAAAAACCACAUAGGUGCACCUCUACUUUCGUGAGUGUACUCCCUAUGUUUAGCACUUCUUGAACUAAUGUUAAAUCUCAAUUUUCAUUGUAGAAACAACACCUUAGAUAAUCACAAUUAAUGGUACCAGAUUAAUCAUGAUUUAAAGAGCCAAAGUACUAAAUAAUUUGCUCAAAUCAUAGCAAUCAAAUAACCAAAUAAUAAACACUAACAAUUAUAGGAAGUUCAACCAAACCCAAGGUAUAAACCUUAGAGACACAUAAAUAACAUAAAUUCCAGAACUUGUAUAUUAACUAAACUUGGAAUCAAAUACAAAAGAUAAAGAGUUUGGAAGGAAUACAACCCUUGUCACAUGAGCUUUCUUCCUUGCCUUCUUCAUCCUCCAUUUUCAUCCUAAUCUAGAUAAUAUACAAGAGUGGAUGAACUACACUUACUACACUAUCCUACACUAAGGAAAUGGAAGAACUACAUUUCUGCACUCCUCAAGCUUCUCCCGUAUAUUCUGCAUGUCCUGGUUGCUCCCUAUAUAAAACUGCUCCAAAAGCUCCUUUUCCAUUGGUCCAAAUUUGCUGCAUUUGAUUUCCAAAUCUGAAAUUGUUAAGAUAGUCAAUAGCCAUUGUUUUUGACUUGAAAAUAUGCCAACUUUCUUGCCCUUUUGUCUUCUAAAGCAUGUGCACCGAAUUCUCUUGCAGAUUGUAGCUGGAAAGUAGUCAGAGCACAAGAGAAUUGACUGAGCAAAAUUGCAGAAUUGCGGCCGGAAAACGCGCCUACACAAAACGCGGUUACAAGUCACGUUUUGUGUACUCGCGUAUUCACUUUGUCUUUACUUCAGCUGCGAUUUUCUCUAUCAUAAAGGCUGAACUGGCUUUUUUGUAAAACACCAAAGUUGUAGCCCUUUGAGUUAGCUUUCCAAUGCUUCAAGAAUCAUCCAAAUCUGAGCUUUGUAGCCUGAGAUAUGAUCGAAAUACUAAACACUGGUCAGAGCUCUGUUUUCCACUUUGGACAGCUGAGUUGAAUUUCGGUAUUUCAACUUUUGGACUAUGAAAACGGCUGAAUUGGACUUUGAUGUCUUCAUACCAAAUGUAGAUAUAUCUCUUAGCUUCAAAAUGGUACCAAGAUCACCUUGAUCCGAUCAGUGUAGCUCCAGAUAUAGUCAAAAUACCAAAACGUGUCAGAGUUGUCAAAACCUGACUUUUCUUGAUUCAAAUUGCAUUUUUCCUUUUUACACUUCAUAUUUUAUUUUCACCAUUUUAAUCCAUCUUCAAUCAUCCAAAUAUCUUCUCAAUACACUUCAUUUGAUGAUUGAAUUAUUAAACUUACAAAAUAUGAAGUUUUUCCCAUAAAAAUCCAUAAAAUGCAAUGUUUAGCCAUUUUAACAUAAAAUGUAGUUUUUUACCAAAACCUUAGUUAUUUUAGUUAUUAAACUAAAUAAUCAAACCAAAAUUAACUAAUAAAACACACUAAAAAAUACGUAAAAUAAACCCUUGUCAAAUACCCCCACACUUGAACCAUUGCUUGUCCUCAAGCAAUAAAAAUACAAACCAACAAUGAUCCAAAAUUUGAAAAUAAACAUAUGUAGCAUUUCAACUUCAUUUCCUCAAAACAAAGUAAAUAACCAUUAUGCAAUUAUUCAAUUAAGUUCAAGUACUCAUAAUAUCAAGUAAAGGAGAGCCAAUUAUACCGUCAUUAUAACAAAUUCAAAUCAAUUUUUCAUCCUUACCCAAUCUUACAAGUAAGUAACUCAUAUGGUCAAUAAUAAUGCUUCCUAAACUCAUGAUCAUCUUUUAAUUCUGUUUAAAAAGAUAUUUAUUAAUAUUACAUAUCUAAAUAUUACUUAAGACGUGAGAAUGCCUUUUGACGCGAGGAUCGACAUUUUUAGAUGAAGAUCACCGGUUACUCAACACUUCACAUACUCAAGUUGCUUUGCAUACUCUUAAUUCAAGUAGCGUUUUACGCGAAAGUCGGCAUUUGUAGAUGAAGACUCCCGGUUACUAAGUACAAGAAUCAUUGGAGUAGAAGAAUUUUUAUUUAUUUUCUUUUUUCUUUUGUUUUUUGUUUUUCUCUUUUUCUUCAUUUUUUUCAUUUUUCAUCAUUUUUUUUAUAGGAAAGAGAAUAAUAAUUUUCUAAAAAAAUAAUCAUGAGAAUAGUAUUGCACUUAUUGACCAUAUUUAUCACUUAACUUAUAAAAUCCAAUAAAGAGAAGAAAUUUCAUCAAAUAUGCAAAAAAAAUAUAGGCAUAAUUUUCUCCACUUCACAAGAUAUAUUUUCCUACAAAUGCAAAAUUAUAAUCACAUAAUAGUCAUUUCCAAGUUAAAUGAGAAAAGAAGUUUCCAAAUCACAUAUAUUUAUCUCAAAUGUAGGAGAAAUUUGAACUACUAAUGGUAUGGAACUUGUUACCCCUUGGAUAAAAUUGAAAAAAUAUGAAACUUUUUGGGGCAAGUUUGCAAUUUUGGACAAGAUUUUAGAAAAAUUUUGAAUUUUAACACAAGCCCAAUAUUUGCAACUAAUAAUUCAAUCACAUACAAUGUAUAUAAUCUCAAUUCUCCCCCCACACUUAACAUACACAUUGUCCUCAAUGUGUAAGAAGGAAAAUCAAGAUAAAAAAAAAAUAAUAAUAAUACUCCCCUAUUGUUGUGAUUGAAUAUGAAGCUUCAAGGUAUGUUGUUCGCUUGUCUUCAUCGCUUCAUGAGUUCCAUUUGGUAACCAUUAGUGAUAUAACCUAAAAAUGGAAAAUGAGAAACAAAAGUGAUAACAAAGGCUUAAUAAACAUAUAACGGCGAUCCGUAAUUCCUAAGCCUUUGUGGUGGUGAUGUACCUAUAGAAAAUACACAAUAAGCAACUGAAGGUACAAGAAAAUAUAUGAGGAAAAGAAGAAAAAGAGAAUCAAGGAAGCUGCAUUUUUUUUUUUUUUUUUUUUUUAAAAAAGGUGCUCAGAAAACGCGACUCAAAUAAAACGGGCCUUUAACUCGCCGUUUUAGAAGUCGGUUUUAUGCACAAAAUGCAGGAACGGUGAAAACGCGGACCUUGUUGUAAAACAGGCGCUUGGUAGUCGCGUAUUUGAAGUCGCGUUUUCAAUUUUUGAUCAGGCUGUAAAACGCGACUUGGUAGAAAACGCGACUUCCUGUCGCGUUUUGAAGGCGCGUUUUCUUCAGUAUAGGCGCAGAAUUGAAAACGCGAUUAUGGAAAACGCGAUUCUAAGGCGCGUUUUCAGCCAAAAUGCGUUUUCUUCUGCGAAAUUUUUGCAGAAAGCCAACUUUGAAAAAUUACAAAUGAUACCCCAAUCACUCAAAAUGCAUCAUAGAUCAUUUGUUUGUUAAAAUACUCAAUACAUGCACAUGUAAAAUGAUCAAAAUAUGCAUUUUAACCCCUUCUAACAAAUCAAAAACAACAAUUACUCAAAUUGAGGGGUUGAGUUCCUUGAUCAAAAUUCGCCUUUUUAACCUCAUUUGGUCACUUUUGCUUCCAUUUCCAAUACCUACAAAUGAAAAAUAACAAAAUAACUCAAACAUAUACUUUAAACAUAAAAUCACCCCAAAAUAACAUAAACUUAAACAAACAUUGGGUUGCCUCCCAAUAAGCGCUUCUUUAAAGUCAAUAGCUUGACUACCUCAUUUUUCAAGGAGGCUUAGUUAACGAAUAAUCCACCAUUUUUUGUCGUGGUGGAUCAUUAAAUGGUGGCUUUAUCGCGAAAGCCACAUAAUCUAAUGAUGUGAGAAAUGGAAGUGGCUUACCUAUUCCAAGUGUUUCAUAAAUAUUACCUUGAAUAUGCACCACUUGAGAACUUACCAACGGGAAUGCCAUGAGAGUAUCUUGGGCAGCAAUACCCUUAGAACCUACACUUUCAAUGCACUCCUCAAGAGGGGUGAAAAAUGAGUCAUUAAAACUCACCUCUUGAGCCUCAAAGUUAGUUCCAAAGAUAUUAUCUUGUGAAAUGGACAUUUGCUCAUUGAAACACAAUUGAGAUUCAUCAUUUUCAUCAACAUGCAAUCCAUUUUCACAUACAACAUUCUUACCAUUCAUGCUAGGAUCAUUUUGCAAUUUAUUAGAAGAAAUAACCUCACACAAUGCAUUCAAUUGCUCAUUUAUUCUGCCAAAGUGAGAAGUUAAUUCAUCUAUUCUUUCCUCAAUCCUAUCAAAACGGUUGGAAGUUGCAUUAGCUAAUUUUUCUAAAGCUAACUCCCAAGAUGGCUUAGAAUCAUUAGCUACCAUUUCAAUUGCCAACUCCCAAGAUGGUUUUGAUUCAUAUUGGACACAUUCAGGUUGGUAAUCAUAAAAAUAUGAAGAAUUACUAUAAGUACAUUGAUUAUUCCAACCAUAAGCAGGAGAAUUGCUCAAAUUAGCACUAUAUCGAUCAAAACAAGGAUUGUAAUGCUCUAAUUCAUCAUAAUAAUCCAUAUUUUGUGCUUGUCUACAUGUAUUAGAAGCAUGAUAAUCUCCACACAAGUCACAAAUCACAUGAUAAGAAUUAAAAACAUUUGCAUUCCUCCUUUGUUCAAUUUCCUGCACAAUUUUGUCCAUUUGAACUUGUAGCAUCAUAACAUCAAAUUUAGCCUUUAAGCACCUUAUACCAUCUUCAAAAAACAUACCUUCAGUAAUUUCUUGGUUACCUCUGUUGAAGGAGCUUUGCACUAGGUAACCAUCCAUUGCCAAUCUUUCAUUUCUCAAGCUUUGUCCUCCCAGUUCACCUACCCUCCUCAUUAUCUAAAAUUACUUUUAAACAAUCUCAAAAGUAAGAUUAGUUAAGAAGGAUAGAUUCCAAGACACAAACUAAAACAGAAAAAUAAUAAUAAUAAUAAUAAUAAAAGUUGACUAAAAAAAAUGACAUAAAACACACAAGAUACAACAAAAAUAACAAAAAUAAGAAAAAUUGUCUAAAUUAAUAAAGUUGCUCUUCACACCGAUAUUGCCAAAUCUUCCCCGGCAACGGCGCCAAAAACUUGACGGGUAUUUUACAUACGUGCAAGCUAAAAAAUACCGAAUUACACCCGUUCACUGCAAGUAUACUGAUCAACUAGUAGUUUAGGGUAUAUAUCGGGUCGAUCCCACAAGGAAGAGUGAACAAUUAUCGGUAUUACUAAAGCUUCUCUAUUAUUUAGACUAUCAAUUAAUGAUAAGAAAUUUAACCUACUGCACUUAUACAAGAAAUUAACAAAUAAAAGCUCCUUAGGUUGUGGUAUCCCUAACUACUCAUGCAAGUGCUAUAUUUGGAUCAUUAAUUACUACAUCUAGGCUAAUUAUGGUGUAAUUUCCUUAUGCAUUUGAAUCCUACUUUCGUAGUGAAUCAAUUAUACUUAUAACUAAUCCAUACCUAUUCUCAUGGUUAUGAAAUUAGCUACAAGUUCAUUUCUUCAAUGAAAUUACAUGAAAUAAAUCACUAAAAACCACAUAGGUGCACCUCUACUUUCGUGAGUGUACUCCCUAUGUUUAGCACUUCUUGAACUAAUGUUAAAUCUCAAUUUUCAUUGUAGAAACAACACCUUAGAU